UACGGGGGGAGCAAGCGUUGUUCGGAUUUACUGGGCGUAAAGGGCGGGUAGGCGGCCACUGCAAGUCGGUUGUGAAAUCUCCGGGCUUAACUCGGAAAGGUCAAUCGAUACUGCAGGGCUAGAGUGCAGAAGGGGCAACUGGAAUUCUCGGUGUAGCGGUGAAAUGCGUAGAUAUCGGAAGGAACGCCGGUGGCGAAAGCGGCGUGCUGGACCUCACCUGACGCUGAGGCGCGAAAGCCAGGGGAGCAAACAGG
rnacentral:rRNA from 1 species